AUUUUAAAAAGGGCUUUAAUGGGGCUAUCAAAGUAGAAGCUCUUAAGGGCACAACUGAAAAUUCCAGUUCUCCACAGGAUGUCAGUCACUCCAAAGUGCUAAUGUUUUCCUAAGGAGAGAUGAGA
rnacentral:snoRNA from 14 species